GACAGGUCCAUGUAUUAUCCUCCAGACUUCAGUGGAGAACCUCGACCCUCAGACACAAACGGUCAGUACCACAGACAGAGAGCAGAGUCUACAGUAUCCAGCUGUCUGUCUAUGAAGAGUGACAGGUCCAUGUAUUAUCCUCCCGACUUCAGUGGAGAACCUCGACCUCAGACACAAACGGUCAGUACCACAGACAGAGAGCAGAGUC